GGCUCCAUAACGUAGUGGUUAGCACAUCUGCUUUACACACAGAAGGUCCUGGGUUCGUGCCCCAGGUGGAGCCA
rfam:Pteropus alecto contig70744, whole genome shotgun sequence.